rnacentral:rRNA from 1 species
UACGAAGGGUGCUAGCGUUGUUCGGAAUUACUGGGCGUAAAGCGCAUGUAGGUGGACUCUCAAGCCAGAGGUGAAAUCCCAAAGCUUAACUUUGGAACUGCCUUUGGAACUGUGAGUCUGGAGUCUUGGAGGGGAUAGCGGAAUUCCUAGUGUAGAGGUGAAAUUCGUAGAUAUUAGGAGGAACACCGGCGGCGAAGGCGGCUAUCUGGACAAGUACUGACACUGAGAUGCGAAAGCGUGGGGAUCAAACAGG